AACGAACGCUGGCGGCAGGCUUAACACAUGCAAGUCGAACGCCCCGCAAGGGGAGUGGCAGACGGGUGAGUAACACGUGGGAACGUACCCUUUGGUUCGGAAUAACUUGGGGAAACUCAAGCUAAUACCGGAUAAGCCCUUAUGGGGAAAGGUUUACUGCCGAAGGAUCGGCCCGCGUCUGAUUAGCUAGUUGGUGAGGUAAUGGCUCACCAAGGCGACGAUCAGUAGCUGGUCUGAGAGGAUGAUCAGCCACACUGGGACUGAGACACGGCCCAGACUCCUACGGGAGGCAGCAGUGGGGAAUAUUGGACAAUGGGGGCAACCCUGAUCCAGCCAUGCCGCGUGAGUGAUGAAGGCCUUAGGGUUGUAAAGCUCUUUUACCCGGGACGAUAAUGACUGUACCGGGAGAAUAAGCCCCGGCUAACUUCGUGCCAGCCGCCGCCGUAA
rnacentral:rRNA from 1 species